rnacentral:rRNA from 1 species
GAACGAACGCUGGCGGCAUGCCUCAGGCAUGCAAGUCGAACGAUGAGGCUCCUUCGGGAGUACAUCAGUGGCGCACGGGUGAGUAACGCGUGGGAACCUACCUAGUAGUUAGGAAUAACUCAAGGAAACUUGGGCUAAUACCUGAUACGCCCCUCGGGGGAAAGAUUUAUCGCUAUUAGAUGGGCCCGCGUUGGAUUAGUGUGUUGAGUAGGGUAAAGGCCUACCAUGACGAUGAUCCAUAGCUGGUUUGAGAGAAUGAUCAGCCGCACUGGAACUGAGACACGGUCCAGACUCCUACGGGAGGCAGCAGCUAGGAAUAUCGCGCAAUGGAGGAAACUCUGACGCAUCCAUGCCGCGUGAGUGACGAAGAUUCUCGGAUUGUAAAACUCUAUCAGUAGUGACGAUGAUGACGGUAACUACAGAAGAAGCCCCGGCUAACUUCGUGCCAGCAGCCGCGGUAGUACGAAGGGGGCUAGCGUUGUUCGGAUUUACUGGGCGUAAAGCGUACGUACGCGGUUCUUUAAGUUAGAGGUGAAAUCCUGGGGCUCAACCCCAGAAUUGCCUUUAGUACUAUUGAACUAGAGUAUGAUAGAGGGUGACGGAAUUUCCAGUGUACGGGUAGAAUCCGUAGAUCUCGGAAGGAACAUCAGUGGCGAAGGCGGUUGCCUGGAUCAUUACUGACGCUAAGGUACGAAAGUGUGGGGAGCAAACAGGAUUAGAUACCCUGGUAGUCCACACCGUAAACGAUGAGUGCUAGUUGUUGGAUUUUUUUCAGUGACGUAGCUAACGCGCUAAGCACUCCGCAUGGGGAGUACGGUCGCAAGAUUAAAACUUAAAGGAAUUGACGGGGACCCGCACAAGCGGUGGAGCAUGUUAUUUAAUUCGAUGAUACGCGAAGAACCUUACCAGCUUUUGACAUCAUGGUCGCGAAUUUCAGAGAUGAUUUUCUUCAGUUCGGCUGGACCAGUGACAGAUGGUGCAUGACUGUCGUCAGCUCGUGUCGUGAGAUGUUGGGUUAAGUCCCGCAACGAGCGCAACCCUCACUGUUAGUUACCAGCACGUUAUGGUGGGAACUCUAACAGAACUGUCGGUGAUAAGCCGGAGGAAGGUGGGGAUGACGUCAAGUCCGCAUGUCUCUUACGGGCUGGGCUAUAAACGUGCUACAAUGGCAACUACAGAGAGCAGCAACUUCGCAAGGAGAAGAUAAUCCACUAAAAGUUGUCUCAGUUCAGAUUGUUCUCUGCAACUCGAGAACAUGAAGUUGGAAUCGCUAGUUAUCACGGAUCAGUAUGCCGCGGUGAAUACGUUCCCGGGUCUUGACACACCGCCCGUCAUCUCAUGGAAGCUG